rnacentral:rRNA from 1 species
UACGAAGGGGGCUAGCGUUACUCGGAUUGACUGGGCGUAAAGGGCGCGUAGGCGGUUUGUACAGUCAGACGUGAAAUUCCUGGGCUCAACCUGGGGGCUGCGUUUGAUACGUGCAGACUUGAGUUCGGAAGAGGGUCGUGGAAUUCCCAGUGUAGAGGUGAAAUUCGUAGAUAUUGGGAAGAACACCGGUGGCGAAGGCGGUGACCUGGUCCGAUACUGACGCUGAGGCGCGAAAGCGUGGGGAGCAAACAGG